ACUGAAACAUCUAAGUACCCGGAGGAAGAGAAAAUAAUUAAUGAUUCCGAUAGUAGCGGCGAGCGAAAUCGGAAGAGCCCAAACCAAUCUUGUUUCGGCAAGGUUGGGGUUGUAGGACCACGAUGUGAGAUGUUCCAUGAAUUAGAAUCAACUGGAAAGUUGAACCAUAGAGGGUGAUAGUCCCGUAUAGGUAAGUGCGAAUUAUUUCUAGUGGUAUCCUGAGUAGGGCGGGACAUGUGAAAUCCUGUCUGAAUCUGUCAGAACCAUCUGAUAAGGCUAAAUACUCCUGCAAGACCGAUAGUGAACUAGUACCGUGAGGGAAAGGUGAAAAGUACCCUGAAUAAGGGAGUGAAAUAGAUCCUGAAACCGUUUGCUUACAAGCGGUCGGAGCAUCAUAAGAUGUGACGGCGUGCCUUUUGCAUAAUGAUCCUACGAGUUACUCGUCACUGGCAAGGUUAAGGACUUCAGGUCCGCAGCCGAAGCGAAAGCAAGUCUGAAUAGGGCGUAUAGUCAGUGGCGGUAGACGCGAAACCGAGUGAUCUACCCAUGGGCAGGUUGAAGCUCUGGUAACACAGAGUGGAGGACCGAACCGGUUGACGUUGAAAAGUCUUCGGAUGACCUGUGGGUAGGGGUGAAAGGCCAAUCAAACUCGGAAAUAGCUCGUUCUCCCCGAAAUGCUUUUAGGAGCAGCGUUAUGUUAUAGAGUAGUAGAGGUAGAGCUACUGGUUGGAUGCGGGG
rnacentral:rRNA from 1 species